rfam:Parcubacteria (Giovannonibacteria) bacterium GW2011_GWB1_47_6b TY02_C0005, whole genome shotgun sequence.
CGGACUGUCGUAUAGUGGCAGUACGCGAGGCUGGGGGUCUUGCAGCCCGGGUUCGAUUCCCGGCAGUCCGA